rnacentral:lncRNA from 1 species
UGCUGUCAGACCUCUGAAGGCUGCCCUGAGGGGGAGGGAAGAGUCUAGUCCUGCAGUUGUCCUGGGACGACUCCAGGAGACAGACCCUAGGUGAGCAGCAGAAGUACCUUGUCACGGUCCCACCUUUAUGAGGAUGGAGGAAGCUGCCUCAGGUGGAGAGAGCUCCCUGUUGCUGGAGUGCCUUCCCAGCACACUCAGAACAGAGUCAAGAGUGUCACCCUGCCCCACAAGGCUCUUCCCAAUCUGGACCUCUGCCCACGAUGCUGGCGUCCUACAGACCUCUCAGUUUCACAAGUCCACCACCUCUUCCUGCUCGAGCUGCACCACUGGCCCCUUCAGCUCCUGGGAUUUCAAUGUCACCUGGAUGAAGGACAGAGAUGAGCAUCCAGACUCAACUCAGCACCUGGUGACUGACAACAAAAUCAAUUACUCCGUCACUUCCCCAGUAGGGUGUGGGGGACACUAGCCCGACACGAUGUCUCACCUGCGAAGUCACCCACAGGGGACUGGCAGAGCCCCUCCCAAGUGCUCCAAGUUCUUCCCACCCUGAAGAUCACCAGGCCCGCUGGGACACACGUCCAGGUGCAUCAGAGAGUGAAUCUCACGGGCCACAUGAGCCACUCCUGUCCCCGCUCCCUGCACCUCACCUGGGUGGAGAACAGGCACAAGGUCCAGACCGUGGAGUGUCCCCAGGUCACGAGAAACCCAGAGUGUGCAUCUCAUCUGGAUGAAGAAUGGCCAUAUGUUCCAGGGAGCUGAGCAACUCAUGUCCAAGCAGAGUGGUGAUGGACCUACAUGCUGGAAAGCUUGCAGUUGGUGGAUGGGUCGGCGCAGGGGUCUGAACGGGUGCUCAUCUGUAAGGUGCAGCAUGAGGCACAGACUCCCAUCCGGGCCAACCUCCCUGUGCCGUCCUACAUCACAUACGAGCCCAUAAGGAGCCCAGAUCCAGAGAUGCCUGUCCUUAUUUUUGUGGCUUCCCUCCAGGCCUCAAGGUGCUGCUGGCGGUGAGUUUCAUAGUCACCUACAUCCACAGGUGGUGGAUCCUGUGACAGGUUUCAUAUGAUAUAUCUUUGGAAUGAAUAAGGAAGUAUGACGAAAAUCAACCACUAGAACCUGUCUGAGGGACUUGGAGGCGCUGAUUGGUGGCAAGAUGAAUGUGGAUAUGAGAGAGUUCAGGACUCAGAAAGAGGUGUUGGAGUGUAAUGAGUAGGGUCUUCAUUUCUGAUCUGCGCCAUGAACCCAGGCCAAGCAGAGUGCUUGCCACAUACUGAGUCAAGGAUGGACCUUGGUCAUGAGGCUCGGGGAUGUCUGGACCCUGAUGUGCUGAGCUUCCGACUGGCCCUGCCUCCACCCAACAGAGAAUCAAGCAGAUCAAGAAAAUCCGUUUCCAUUGCCCCUGAUCAGGAACAACCUUUAAAUUCCAGAACAGCUGUUACUUUUAUCCAGAGCUUUGAAGUAUGAUUUCCUUUUAACAUGUAUGUGUUUUGAAAUCACGAAGUUGAAGAAGCAUUUUUCUAUUCCAAACUAUUUAAAGAAUAAUAUAAAAAAUAUCCACGGACCUGCCAUCCUAUCUUUGUAAAAUAUUAACGUUUUGCCAUUAUGUUCUUCUGUUCCUUUGAAAAAUACUGUCCUGAAUUUAGUGUUUAUCCUUCUCAAGCCGUGAUUUUAUACUUUUAUAACAUAUGUAUAAAUCCUCAAGCAAUAUUUAAUAUCACUUUGCAUGUUUUAAAUUUUGUGUAAUUGCAUAUACUAUGUACAGCAUCCUGGAACUUAUUUUAAUUCUAUGCUUAAUAGUUUGUGGGAUUUAUUCAGGUAAUUAUAUGUAGCUCCAUGUUGUUGAUUUUCCCCUGCUCUGUAGAUUUCUAGUGUAAGAAUAUGCCAUGAUUUAUCUACUCUUCUCAUGAUGGAUAUUGAAGCUUUACCCAAUGUUUUGCUGGGACAACUUUGCAAUGAACAUUCUUAUCCUUGUUUCCUUGGGCACAUAUGGGACAAUAGCUCUUGUUCCUCUAGCGUGGUCCCCAAAGCAGCACUGUUGGCAUCAUCUGGGAACUUUUGUUAUGGUAAAAGAGGUUUUAAUUUUUGAUUGAGUUUUGUUCUUUCCAUUUAUACCUUUGAUCUAGUUAUAUUUUUCAGCUGUGUGUGUGUGUGUUUGUGUGUCUGUGUGUGUAUUACAAGUGGUAAGGUCUUAUUUUUUUCCUCCACAAUGGUGAAUUUUGACUCACUGACCUGCCCUGCCACCUUUGCCAUGUAUCAAGUUUCCAUAAAUUGGUGGUUCUUUUUACACGGUCUUUGUUCCAUUGAGCUUCUUGUCUAUCUCUCUGUCAAAACUACACUCUCUUAAUUAUCAUAGAUUUGUGACAAGUUUUGACACCUCUUUUGGGAAAAUCUUCCCAUCUUUUCUUGUUCAAAACUGUUGUGGCUCUUCUUGGCCCAAAUGCGUUUUUGAAUCACUUUGUCAAGUUUCACAAAAAUCUUUAGAAUUAUU